ensembl:miRNA
CUAUUAGGUUGGUGCAAAAGUAAUUGUGGUUUUUGAAAGUAACUUGGCGAAAACCACAAUGACUUUGCACCAACCUAGUAC